rnacentral:pre_miRNA from 1 species
GCUUAUGGAUGAGCAAAGAAAGUGGUUUCUUGAGACAAAAACCUACUCUUGGUGAAGAUGCUGUGAA